GGCUGGUCCGAGUGCAGAGUUGUUUACAAAACUGAUCACAACCGGUUAUAUAUUUCUUUGUUCCUUCUCCUCUCCCACUGCUCCGCUUGACUCUUCUUAA
ensembl:Y_RNA Y_RNA Y RNA